rnacentral:snoRNA from 1 species
UGAAAUGAUGAUAUUUUUUGCUAUUCACACUGUUUGAUGACCCUCUACUGGGUUGAUGAAACGGUAAACAAAAAUCUGAUUUAAUGAGGUA